rnacentral:rRNA from 1 species
CGCUGGCGGCAUGCCUAACACAUGCAAGUCGAACGAGACCUUCGGGUCUAGUGGCGCACGGGUGCGUAACGCGUGGGAAUCUGCCCUUGGGUUCGGAAUAACUCGCCGAAAGGCGUGCUAAUACCGGAUGAUGUCGUAAGACCAAAGAUUUAUCGCCCAGGGAUGAGCCCGCGUAAGAUUAGGUAGUUGGUGAGGUAAAGGCUCACCAAGCCGACGAUCUUUAGCUGGUCUGAGAGGAUGAUCAGCCACACUGGGACUGAGACACGGCCCAGACUCCUACGGGAGGCAGCAGUGGGGAAUAUUGGACAAUGGGCGAAAGCCUGAUCCAGCAAUGCCGCGUGAGUGAUGAAGGCCUUAGGGUUGUAAAGCUCUUUUACCCGGGAUGAUAAUGACAGUACCGGGAGAAUAAGCUCCGGCUAACUCCGUGCCAGCAGCCGCGGUAAUACGGAGGGAGCUAGCGUUGUUCGGAAUUACUGGGCGUAAAGCGCACGUAGGCGGCUUUGUAAGUCAGAGGUGAAAGCCUGGAGCUCAACUCCAGAACUGCCU